GACAGAGGGUGCAAACGUUGUUCGGAAUUACUGGGCGUAAAGCGUGCGCAGGCGGUUAUGUAAGACAGGUGUGAAAUCCCCGGGCUUAACCUGGGAACUGCGUCUGAUACUGGAUGGCUUGAAUCCGGGAGAGGGAUGCAGAAUUCCAGGUGUAGCGGUGAAAUGCGUAGAUAUCUGGAGGAAUACCGGUGGCGAAGGCGGCAUCCUGGACCGGCAUUGACGCUGAGGAGCGAAAGCCAGGGGAGCAAACGGG
rnacentral:rRNA from 1 species